AGGCUGUGAAGACAGAAAACAUUUCUCGAUGCUGAGUUAUGGACUUUGUUUUAUAUAUGCUGAAUUUUAUGCGUGUCUGAGCCGC